rnacentral:lncRNA from 1 species
ACACCUGAAGCAAACUUCAAAACUCUCGUUUAACCACUCGAAUUCACCCCGAGGCCCCCGGGACCCCAACUAAAAGCACAAACAUGUUCUAUUACCUUAUUCAAACUUGCUUGAACCAUCAAAACACUAUCGUUAACAUCAAAUCCUCAAAUUUCAUCAAAUCAAAGCCUAUAUUUCUUAAAACCUCCGAAUUGCACAUUCGAUCAAAAACCUGACCUAAACACCACCGAAUGACCUGAAACAUUACACACAUAUCCAAAAUCACCUAAUAGGGCUACUGGAAUUCUCGAAAAUUCCAUUCCGACCCCAGAGCACAAUCCUGGCACCAAAUAAAUACUGAAAUCCACAAUCUUGCCUGACGACAGCCCGACCACAAGAAACGCAUCCGAAAAAGUCCCUAAAUACCAGAACUACAUCAAAGGUAGAAACCUCUGCAAUGACAUCUUCCACGAAGCCACGAUUAAGAAAAACAAUCCUUCUCAGUCGUCCGCUAGUCUUUGGAAUACAACCCACUCUGCCAGAACACAAUCCGAUGCACUCGCCAAGCAACCUGUGACCUUUUUCUGACAGAGCCCAUAGCACAAUGGUCUAGAAUAACCUAACACUGAGACAUCCAGUCUAUACUCCAAUAUAACGUCCAGAAUCUAAUAUACCAAGCAAAGAAGGAUCCACUCGGGCCUCCAAAUCCCAAAAGCUGCUAAUGGUACCAAUACACACGAUCCACAACCACUACAUAGUCUGUACCUGAGAACUCCCAAUCUCCAACUCCAUAUAGCAC